rnacentral:rRNA from 1 species
UAAGGAAUAUUGCUCAAUGGGAGAAAUCCUGAAGCAGCAACGCCGCGUGGAGGAUGAAGGGUCUAUGACUUGUAAACUCCUGUAAAGAAGGAAAGAAUUCCCAUUAGAUGGGAGAUGAUGGUACUUCUGGAGUAAGCCCCGGCUAACUACGUGCCAGCAGCCGCGGUAAUACGUAGGGGGCAAGCGUUGUCCGGAUUUACUGGGUGUAAAGGGUGCUCAGGCGGAUUUGUAAGUCAGAGGUGAAAUCUUACAGCUUAACUGUGAAACUGCCUUUGAUACUGCAAGCCUAGAGUAUGGAAGAGAGUGAUGGAAUAUCUGGUGUAGCAGUGAAAUGCGUAGAUAUCAGAUAGAACACCAGUGGCGAAGGCAGUCACUUGGUCCAUUACUGACGCUAAAGCACGAAAGCGUGGGUAGCAAACA